GCCCUGAGGGAUAAUUCAGUCAGUAGAACUUGAGACUCUCAAUCUCAGGGCUGUGGGUUUGAUCCCCAUGUUGGGUG
rnacentral:tRNA from 1 species